UAGUUAUUUUAGAAGCCAAUU
rnacentral:piRNA from 1 species